UACAGAGGGUGCAAGCGUUGCUCGGAAUCAUUGGGCGUAAAGGGUAGGUAGGUGGUCUCAUUUGUCGGUAGGUGAAAGCCUUGGGCUUAACUCAAGAAGUGCCUCCGAAACGGUGAGACUAGAGUUCUGGAGAGGCUAGGGGGAAUUCCCGGUGUAGCGGUGAAAUGCGUAGAGAUCGGGGAGGAACACCAGAGGCGAAGGCGCCUAGCUGGGACAGAU
rnacentral:rRNA from 1 species